rnacentral:rRNA from 1 species
AGUUUGAUCAUGGCUCAGAUUGAACGCUGGCGGAAUGCUUUACACAUGCAAGUCGAACGGCAGCGACGGGGCAACCUGGUGGCGAGUGGCGAACGGGUGAGUAAUACAUCGGAACGUGCCCAAUCGUGGGGAUAACGUAGCGAAAGUUACGCUAAUACCGCAUACGAUCUACGGAUGAAAGCGGGGGAUCGCAAGACCUCGCGCGAAUGGAGCGGCCGAUGUCAGAUUAGGUAGUUGGUGGGGUAAAGGCUCACCAAGCCGACGAUCUGUAGCUGGUCUGAGAGGACGACCAGCCACACUGGGACUGAGACACGGCCCAGACUCCUACGGGAGGCGGCAGUGGGGAAUUUUGGACAAUGGGCGCAAGCCUGAUCCAGCCAUUCCGCGUGCAGGAUGAAGGCCUUCGGGUUGUAAACUGCUUUUGUACGGAACGAAACGGUUCUCUCUAAUACAGGGGGCUAAUGACGGUACCGUAAGAAUAAGCACCGGCUAACUACGUG